CUGAUUGCUAAUGACUCAACACUUGAAUCUUCACCUCUUAGACAAAGAUCUUACGGCGUCCAGGUCUCUAUACCAACCAAACACAUCAGCUUCUCUGGCUGCUCAGCAAAAUCUUUAUAAAGCAAAACAAUCCCUCCUAGACCAGAUGAUGAAUGAUGAAUGUGCUGCAAAGUGAUACAGAGCUUUCCCUCCAGGGAUGUUCCACACAGAAUGAGCACAAUGUAUGGGUAAUUGUUCAGUUGAAGUAACUGUACUCUGACAAUAUUAAAACACUUUUUUUUUCCA